AGUGAACGCUGGCGGCGUGCUUAACACAUGCAAGUCGAACGAGAACGGGUUAUAGCUUGCUAUAAUUGUCAGCUGAGUGGCGCACGGGUGAGUAAUGUAUAGGUAAUAUGCCUCUUACUAAGGGAUAACAAAUGGAAACGUUUGCUAAUACCUUAUACUCCUUAUUAACUUAAGUUAAUAAGGGAAAGAUUUAUUGGUAAGAGAUUAGCCUGUAUUGUAUCAGUUAGUUGGUGGGGUAAUGGCUUACCAAGACUAUGACACAUAACUGGUUUGAGAGGAUGAUCAGUCACACUGGAACUGAGACACGGUCCAGACUCCUACGGGAGGCAGCAGUGGGGAAUAUUGCACAAUGGACGAAAGUCUGAUGCAGCAACGCCGCGUGGAGGGUGACACAUUUCGGUGCGUAAACUCCUUUCAUAUGAGAAGAUAAUGACGGUAUUAUAUGAAUAAGCACCGGCUAACUCCGUGCCAGCAGCCGCCGUAA
rnacentral:rRNA from 1 species